AUUGAACGCUGGCGGCAGGCCUAACACAUGCAAGUCGAGCGAGCGGCGGACGGGUGAGUAAUGUAUGGGGACUGCCCGAUAGAGGGGGAUAACUACUUGAAACGGUAGCUAAUACCGCAUACUAUCGGAUAACCCAUAUGGGAUUAGCUAGUAGGUGAGGUAAUGGCUAACCUAGGCGACGCUCCCUAGCUGGUCUGAGAGGAUGAUCAGCGACACUGGGACUGAGACACGGCCAAGACUCCUACGGAGGCAGCAGUGGGGAAUAUUGCACAAUGGGCGAAAGCCUGAUGCAGCCAUGCCGCGGGUAUGAAGAAGGCCCUAGGGUUGUAAAGUACUUUCAGUCGGGAGGCGUUACCGACAGAAGAAGCACCGGCUAACUCCGUGCCAGCAGCCGCGGUAAUAC
rnacentral:rRNA from 1 species